rnacentral:rRNA from 1 species
UACGUAGGGUGCGAGCGUUGUCCGGAAUUAUUGGGCGUAAAGGGCUCGUAGGCGGUUUGUCGCGUCGGGAGUGAAAACACACAGCUUAACUGUGUGCUUGCUUCCGAUACGGGCAGGACUAGAGGUAUGCAGGGGGAGAACGGAAUUCCUGGUGUAGCGGUGAAAAUGCGCAGAUAUCAGGAGGAACACCGGUGGCGAAGGCGGGUCUCUGGGCCGAUACUGACGUGAGGAGCGAAAGCGUGGGGAGCGAACAGG